CGGAUUUUGACCCUAAUUGACAUGUUCAGGUGAAGUGGAUAGUCCGUUAUUCUUUUCUUUAGUAAAAACUAAUUUCCAUUCAUUAAAUAUUACAUCCAAUCCAGAUUACAGCUCAGAUCAGUCCACCUGGGAGCUUGCAUCAUCAAAAACUGGCUAAACGACGAAGACAAAAAAAUAUAUAUAUAUAAAGUGCUGCUGCAUUUUGCGACUAUUCUAUAGAAAUAAUCUGAUUCAAUUGGUUUUUUUUUU
rnacentral:lncRNA from 1 species